UUGGCUUAGAAGCAGCCACUCAUUCAAAGAGUGCGUAAUAGCUCACUGGUCGAGUGAUCCUGCGCCGAACAUUUCCGGGGCUAAAACUUACUACCGAAGCUACGGCAUCAGUAAUGAGGGGUACGGGAGCUUCCCAUACGGGUUCAAGCACGACCGUAACGACGCGUGGACAGUAUGGGAGGGCGCAUGUUGGCGUGAGUAUCGAGAUGUGGGUGAGAAUCGCACAGGCCGUAAACCCAUGGUUGCCAGGGGAAGGUUAGACAGCCCUGGGGUAGUCGGGCCCGAGGCGGAGGCCGCAAGGCGUAGGGGAUGGACAACAGGUUGAUAUUCCUGUACUACCGAUAACCGUUUGAGGGAAGGAAUUGAACAGUAGGCUAUGCUGAGCACCCUGUUGGUUAUGCUUGCCCAAGCAUCGGGUCAGGACCAGUGGGGAAGACCGCGUUGGGAAUGCGGGG
rnacentral:rRNA from 1 species